CCUAGAUCCCCUCAUUAGAAUCUAAGUGCCAUGAGAUUGGCUGCUGUGUCUCCUGUGCUUGGAACAACCCCCAGCAUGGGACAGGCUAUGUUAUCGAGAGGGAGGAAAAAUCACACAAGGCUGAAGCAGUUCAUUGCAGGAAUGGAAACGCAUGGCCGCCGCCACCUACGACUCUCUCCUCUGUCAGAAAGAUCACCUCAGGGGGGAGUGCCGCCCACACCGUUCCUGUCCUCAGUGAGUUUUUAGAGCCUUCCAGGAGAGAAAAUAUGAGCCAGUGCCCUGGGUUUGUUAUGUAAUCAACCCCGAGUCAGUCAGAACGGUGGCGGUGGGGAGGGGUGGCAUCUGAAGGCCGACUUUGACAAUCGUCCCUCUUGGAGUCUUUGUAACUAUCUUGCUGGGUUAGGUGUUAACAUCUCUAAAGCGCUGAGGCCGGGAGCAAAAGCCAAUCAGAACACGUUGCGGGCUUUCCCAGAGAGUUCGCACACAAGUUCUACUGUGUUUGAAAGCAAUUACUUGACCUGGGAACGGUGAAGUUCAACUGGGUAAGGAAAUACUUUUCUCUGCCUUUCUCCCCCUCCCGUUGCAGGCCGUGGCUGGGCACCUGGCUUUAUCGCACCGUCUCCUUCAGGAAGUGUCUGCCUGUUAGAAGAUCUCACCCGGGUUUGGAAAGUCCAGUUGGGGAACUUAAAACAGGCCACUAGUUUAAUUUUCACACAGAAUACGACUUGGGCCUUGCCAGCGAACCAUCAGGAGCAAAGGUUUCCGAGUAUUAUGUGGUCGCUCCGAAAGCCCUGGUUUCAUGGCCAAAAUUCGCCACCUGGCUCCAGGAUUUUUCUUUCUUCUUUCCAGAGGUGGGCUAGCUCCUCGCUGUUUCUACCCCAGGGCUCAGGUGGAAAGCUGCCUCCUCUGUCCUUUUAAAGCCAUAACCUUGAAAUGGCAGCUUUGAAGCAGCAAAACCUGUAAAACUUGUUUGGUGUUUCCUCUCUCCCUCGCUCCCUCUCCGGGUCUUUCUUCUUUCUUUUUUAAUGAGUUCGCCCUGUUGUUGUUGUUCUACCGCUCGCUCGUGCCUCCUCCACCCUUGACCCCAGGCAGUGGGAAAAGGGGUUAGGAUUUAACCAUCCGUGAACAAUGGCAAUUUUGCAGGCUUGGAAUGUGGAGGUCGUUUUCCAUAGAGGUCAAAUAGGAGGCCAGAGCCAAUACCCACAGCUUGUGUCUGACCCCCCCUGCAGAGGACCUCCACAAGGCUCGCAAAGGUUUGUAAGAUAUUGCCCUGUGUGCCCACGAGGUAUUUCUACAUUUUAAUAAAAUUAAAUGGCUCAAGAGACAACAGUAACCACCCAACAUUUGCCGUGUUUGACGUAGCUAGCAAUCACAUCAAUAUCAAGGAGGCAUUUUUAAAAAGUGACUUUGUUUCUGUAUGAUGAUGAUUAGAACUUCUCUUCCAGAAUUGCUCAGUGAAUUUUGUUAUUAUCCAAUGAAAUCAUGAUGGAAUUACUGGGGCAGAGAUUUUGAAUAUAAAAGGCAAAUUAUCAUCGCAAAGUUUAAGAAUGUGAAAUAGCAGAAAGAUGGUAUUUGAUGAGGACCGUGGAACUUCUAUGUAAGUGAUCUGGAUGGUUCCUUUAUGCAAGCAGCCCAUACUUACUUUGAGUCAAGGGCAUGUUUGUCUGCCUGGGUCUCGGGUCACAGCAGAAAACGCCAUGCAUGCAUCUUUCCACGGCCACACAAUCUUGCUAGCGCUGGUGGACGGAGCGCACCCGGGCUGACCAGUGAAUCAGCAGUGUCCCCCACUGUUUAGAAACACUCUUUAGCGUUUCAGCGAACCAUAGGGACAACAGCAGACCCCUGGGGAAGAAGGCAAAUGAAGAAGAAUCUCUGGUCCCUAGAAAAGGUUGUAAUUCAUUUGCACAAAAAGAAACCACCUUCAGGGGUGCCUGGGUGGUACAGUCAUUAAGCAUCUGCCCUGGGCUGGCUCAGGUCAAGAUCCCAGAGUCAUGGGAUCGAGCCCUGGAUCAGGAUCCCUGCUCAGCAAGAAAUCUGCUUCUGCCUCUCCCCCCCCCCCCACUUGUGUUCCCUCUCUUGCUGUAUUUCUGUCUGUCAAAUAAAUAAAUAAAAUCUUUUAAAAAAAGAACCCACAUUCAGAGAACUUCUCCCCGGCUCAAGUAGAAGAUUCCUAAGACACCCAAGCACGGGGGCCGGAGUGGGGGAUCUCGGGGGCCGUCGUAUCUGUCUCUGACCUGCACCACCACUCAUACAAACCGGCAUGCCUCUCCCCACCUCCCCUCAUCUAGGUAACUUCCACGUAAGCCAGCUUUUCCAGGAAACCUUCUGACACCCCAGAAAAUGAUGGUCUUUGUGUUUCUGCCCGUCUCUCUCCACGCUUCCCCUUAGUGCCUUUUAUCAGGCUCUCCUUUGUGUGUGGACUGUGACCUGCAUGAGGGCAGUGCCUGGGGACUUACUCAUCACGGAGUAGCAGGACUGAGCCUGGUGCCGAGCACAGGAAGAAACCAGCAACAAUCAGAGGUUAUCAGGGGACACUUCUCAGAGGAGUUGAGUGUUGAGUAAAAUUUUAAGGGUGUGGAGCAUUUAUGGCAAAUGGCAGUAGCUGCAUCGGGUGACUCUCAGAGACCACUGUCCCGGACAUUAAAGAGAAGAGGAUCAAUCCACGAAAGAGGAGGAUCGUUGGAGGACUUGAAAGUGCUUUGUAUUGUGGAUUUGAUGGGCAGACCGUGUAAUUCUUUCUGCUACUGCAGGAGAGGGUGAGCCACUGCCAGUGUGCCCUGAUCAGAUUCUCACCAGAGAGUCUAUAUUCGGCUUAUUUAAAUCCCUCUGUGCUUUCUGUUUAAUGCAGCAUUUCCUUCAUUUCCUGCUGGAAAUCCUUAUGCAUAUUUCAACGGUGGCCGUGGCCGGCUUCUCUGCUCUAGUAAACCUAUCCGCAUAGAGGUCCAAGCCGAUUCAAGUUUUUCCUUAAGGAUGCACGUUCUUUAUCCGCAAACAACCUUAAUCUCACAUUUACUAUGACUCAAGCAUCAUUUCUGAUGUACUCUCAUGUCACGAAAGCCUAACUUGAGUCCUGCAAUCACAAGGGCACCGUCAGGAAGAGGAAAUGACAGGGUUGUGAACCAGAACACGCUGUACCUUUUUAAACAUUAACCAUUGUUCAGGUCUGCAGACCUGGCUGCUAAAGGAAAUGAUGGGAAUCAGGAAUCAAAUGCAAAAUAAGAUAAUACCUAUGGAAAAUUUUAGAGUUCUCAGAUCUGCCUUGAUUCGCUAAAGUUUUAUUUUAUGUAUAUUAUAUGUAAUAUACAUAUAUAACACAUAUAUAAUAUAUGUUACUUGUAAUAUGUAACAUAUAUAAUACAUAUUAUCUGUAACAUAUAUAACACAAAUGUUAACUGUAAUAUAAUGACAUAUAUAUAUAAUUUACAUAUUGAAGAAAUAAAAGUAUAACUAAAUUGACUUCAUCUCUG
ensembl:lincRNA